UUUCUGGCUCGCCUCCCCCUACAGGCAGCUCCCGAGCAUGCUCAGCGCGGCCGCGCUGCCAUUUCAUAACCGCAUUGUUUACGGACACACGGACCUGCCAUCUUUUGACAGGGACACAGGGCCCGGGUCCCUGCCCAGAGCCCCGGCCCCCGCCACAAACACCCCCUUGGGGGCAGGCAAACGGCGAAAGCAUGGCAAAGUGAAAAUCCACGUGCUUUGGAGGGAGAGGUUAACCCCUGUGGGAGCUGUGGGGAGGAGGAACUCACAGGGCUCGAUGCAAAAUGCCAGCCAUGAUUUUUAGCUUCUUCAAAUCACAACUGUGCUUCGAUGACACCUAAAAAUAUAAUCCCCAGCCCAGUCUGCCAUCCUCUGCCGAGCCUUCCUCUGUGAGAGAAGGGGCUGGAAAUAUGGCACACAGGAAAACGAGGAGAGGAGGAGGGGAAAUGUUCUUCAUUUAACACCAAGAACUCCAUGAAAAGCCUUGCAAGGUUGCUCAGAGCCCCGCUCUGUUCCAGCCUUCUCCCUGUCUGUGCUGAUCAUACUUCACAGGUGAAAGCAGCUCUGACUUACGACAGAGAGAAAAUGCCAGAAGAGCUGGAGGUUUCCUCAUCCUUGGAACAAGGACAAGUUGUGAAAAGCUUCCUUUGCAAGAGCCACUGUGCUGCUCAGGCACAGCAUGGCAGUGUUGCAGGGAGGACACUUGCAUGUCAGACCUUCUUAACCCCCACUGCCUCGACCCUUCUCCACGUCCUUCCCCCUCCUGAUGGGGACUGAAGGAAAAACACAAAUAAAUGACCCGGU